rnacentral:rRNA from 1 species
GGAGUUUACGGUAUACCUUCGGGUACGUCACGGAGUCAGACUGGCGGCGGUGCUUACACACUGCAAGUCGAACGGACCACUAUUGAACUAGUGAUAUAUGGGUUAGUGGCGGACGGGUGAGUAACGCGUGGGUAACCUGCCUACACAGGGGGAGUAACACUUAGAAAUAGGUGCUAAAACCGACAUAAGCGCACAGCUUCGCAUGAAGCGGUGUGAAAAACUCCGGUGGUGUAAGAUGGACCCGCGUCUGAUUAGCUUGUUGGCGGGGUAACGGCCCACCAAGGCGACGAUCAGUAGCCGGCCUGAGAGGGCGGACGGCCACCAUUGGGACUGAGACACGGCCCAGACUCCUACGGGAGGCAGCAGUGGGGAAUAUUGCACAAUGGGGGAAACCCUGAUGCAGCGACGCCGCGUGAGUGAAGAAGUAAUUCGUUACGUAAAGCUCUAUCAGCAGGGAAGAAACACUGACCUUACGGUCAGCAGACGGUACCUGAGUAAGAAGCCCCGGCUAACUACGUG